AGAAAAAACUUGGAGUAAAGCAGGGCUGCUAACUUUGCUUUGGGUGGUUCAAUUUCAUCCUUUUUCUU
rnacentral:tRNA from 1 species